CCUCUCCUCCUCGCUACUUCUUCUCUUUAUUAUCCUCCUCCUCCAAAUUAGCCCAUAAACUUUCUCUUUUUAUUUACAUCUCUUCUCGUUAAUGACCUCUUCUUCUCUAUUCUUUUUUUUUUCUUCAUCUAUUUCUCAUAAUUUUUUUCUUCUCCUUUUAAACUAGUCCACGAGUUCUUCUCCUUGACGGUGGCUCUCUCCAUAUCUACUUUUUUCCUGAUAACUCUUUCUUUUCCU
rnacentral:lncRNA from 1 species